AUUAAACACCAGCUGGCUACUUGGAAUUUAGAAAACUGGUAACUGUUUCAGAACACAUAUUGUAACUAACUGAUUCACAGGAGCUUUUCCAGUGACUGAUCUUGCCAGGUCCUGCAUCAGCCUUUCUCUGAAACUGCAGGAGCAGUUCGUAUAGACUGUGCAUCCUAGAUCAGAUGACUCAAACAAGAUGUUGAAAAUCUCAUCCAGGAGGCCUAAAGAAGUCCACUUCUUUAGGUAUGACUGACCAAAGGCCAAAAUUUCUGAGCCCUUAUGCCCAUCAUGCUUAUUUAUGAGGCUCUUGUAUCUAAAAUCUGGCCCACAUAUUGCAAGUACUCA